rnacentral:rRNA from 1 species
GGCGAACGCUGGCGGCGUGCCUAAUACAUGCAAGUCGAACGCUGAAGCUUGGUGCUUGCACCGAGCGGAUGAGUUGCGAACGGGUGAGUAACGCGUAGGUAACCUGCCUGGUAGCGGGGGAUAACUAUUGGAAACGAUAGCUAAUACCGCAUAAGAGUAGAUGUUGCAUGACAUUUGCUUAAAAGGUGCAAUUGCAUCACUACCAGAUGGACCUGCGUUGUAUUAGCUAGUUGGUGAGGUAACGGCUCACCAAGGCAACGAUACAUAGCCGACCUGAGAGGGUGAUCGGCCACACUGGGACUGAGACACGGCCCAGACUCCUACGGGAGGCAGCAGUAGGGAAUCUUCGGCAAUGGACGGAAGUCUGACCGAGCAACGCCGCGUGAGUGAAGAAGGUUUUCGGAUCGUAAGGCUCUGUUGUAAGAGAAGAACGAGUGUGAGAGUGGAAAGUUCACACUGUGACGGUAUCUUACCAGAAAGGGACGGCUAACUACGUG